UUUAGUAACGGCGAGUGAAGCGGCAAAAGCUCAAAUUUGAAAUCUGGUACCUUCGGUGCCCGAGUUGUAAUUUGGAGAGGGCAACUUUGGGGCCGUUCCUUGUCUAUGUUCCUUGGAACAGGACGUCAUAGAGGGUGAGAAUCCCGUGUGGCGAGGAGUGCGGUUCUUUGUAAAGUGCCUUCGAAGAGUCGAGUUGUUUGGGAAUGCAGCUCUAAGUGGGUGGUAAAUUCCAUCUAAAGCUAAAUAUUGGCGAGAGACCGAUAGCGAACAAGUACAGUGAUGGAAAGAUGAAAAGAACUUUGAAAAGAGAGUGAAAAAGUACGUGAAAUUGUUGAAAGGGAAGGGCAUUUGAUCAGACAUGGUGUUUUGUGCCCUCUGCUCCUUGUGGGUAGGGGAAUCUCGCAUUUCACUGGGCCAGCAUCAGUUUUGGUGGCAGGAUAAAUCCAUAGGAAUGUAGCUUGCCUCGGUAAGUAUUAUAGCCUGUGGGAAUACUGCCAGCUGGGACUGAGGACUGCGAC
rnacentral:rRNA from 1 species